UUUCCUAAUCAAGAAGUUGGCGUGCAGCCGGGAGAGCUGGACUAAGUUGGUCAUGAUGCAGAAGCUACUCAAAUGCAGUCGGCUUGUCCUGGCUCUUGCCCUCAUCCUGGUUCUGGAAUCCUCAGUUCAAGAAAGACGAGAAUCCAGGACUUGAAUCAUAUCUUCCCACUUUCUGAGGACUAUUCUGGAUCAGGCUCCGGCUCCGGCUCCGGCUCCGGCUCCGGCUCUGGAUCAGGAUCUGGGAGUGGCUUCCUAACGGAAAUGGAACAGGAUUACCAACUAGUAGAUGAAAGUGAUGCUUUCCAUGUCAACCUUAGGUCUCUUGACAGGAAUCUGCCCUCAGACAGCCAGGACUUGGGUCAACAUGGAUUAGAAGAGGAUUUUAUGUUAUAAAAGAGGAUUUUCCCACCUUGACACCAGGCAAUGUAGUUAGCAUAUUUUGUGUACCAUGGUUAAAUGAUUAAUCUUGGGACAAAGAAUUUUAUAGAAAUUUUUAAACAUCUGAAAAAGAAGCUUAAGUUUUAUCAUCCUUUUUUUCUCAUGAAUUCUUAAAGGAUUAUGCUUUAAUGCUGUUAUCUAUCUUAUUGUUCUUGAAAAUACCUGCAUUUUUUGGUAUCAUGUUCAACCAACAUCAUUAUGAAAUUAAUUAGAUUCCCAUGGCCAUAAAAUGGCUUUAAAGAAUAUAUAUAUAUUUUUAAAGUAGCUUGAGAAGCAAAUUGGCAGGUAAUAUUUCAUACCUAAAUUAAGACUCUGACUUGGAUUGUGAAUUAUAAUGAUAUGCCCCUUUUCUUAUAAAAACAAAACAAAAAAAUAA
rnacentral:sRNA from 1 species